UACGUAGGGUGCGAGCGUUGUCCGGAAUUAUUGGGCGUAAAGAGCUCGUAGGCGGUCUGUCGCGUCGAUCGUGAAAACUUGGGGCUUAACCCUGAGCUUGCGGUCGAUACGGGCAUGACUGGAGUUCGGCAGGGGAGACUGGAAUUCCUGGUGUAGCGGUGAAAUGCGCAGAUAUCAGGAGGAACACCGGUGGCGAAGGCGGAUCUCUGGGCCAUUACUGACGCUGGAGGAGCGAAAGCGUGGGGAGCGAACAGGA
rnacentral:rRNA from 1 species